AAAUUGAAGAGUUUGAUCAUGGCUCAGAUUGAACGCUGGCGGCAGGCCUAACACAUGCAAGUCGAACGGUAACAGGAAGAAGCUUGCUUCUUUGCUGACGAGUGGCGGACGGGUGAGUAAUGUCUGGGAAACUGCCUGAUGGAGGGGGAUAACUACUGGAAACGGUAGCUAAUACCGCAUAACGUCGCAAGACCAAAGAGGGGGACCUUCGGGCCUCUUGCCAUCGGAUGUGCCCAGAUGGGAUUAGCUAGUAGGUGGGGUAACGGCUCACCUAGGCGACGAUCCCUAGCUGGUCUGAGAGGAUGACCAGCCACACUGGAACUGAGACACGGUCCAGACUCCUACGGGAGGCAGCAGUGGGGAAUAUUGCACAAUGGGCGCAAGCCUGAUGCAGCCAUGCCGCGUGUAUGAAGAAGGCCUUCGGGUUGUAAAGUAC
rnacentral:rRNA from 1 species